UACCAGCACCCCGAGUGGUCGGGACGAUUAUUGGGCCUAAAGCAUCCGUAGCCGGUACUGCAAGUCUUCCGUUAAAUCCACCUGCUCAACAGUUGGGCUGCGGGGGAUACUACAGCGCUAGGAGGCGGGAGAGGCAAGCGGUACUUAAUGGGUAGGGGUAAAAUCCACUGAUCCAUUGAAGACCACCAGUGGCGAAGGCGGCUUGCCAGAACGCGCUCGACGGUGAGGGAUGAAAGCUGGGGGAGCAAACCGG
rnacentral:rRNA from 2 species